rnacentral:rRNA from 1 species
UACGUAGGGCGCAAGCGUUAUCCGGAAUUAUUGGGCGUAAAGAGCUCGUAGGCGGUUUGUCGCGUCUGCCGUGAAAGUCCGGGGCUCAACUCCGGAUCUGCGGUGGGUACGGGCAGACUAGAGUGAUGUAGGGGAGACUGGAAUUCCUGGUGUAGCGGUGAAAUGCGCAGAUAUCAGGAAGAACACCGGCGGCGAAGGCGGGUCUCUGGGCCAUAACUGACGCUGAGGAGCGAAAAGCGUGGGGAGCGAACAGG